UUGAAGUGGCGCUGCUAUACAUGCAGUCGAGCGGACGGAUGGGAGCUUGCUCCCUGAAGUCAGCGGCGGACGGGUGAGUAACACGUGGGCAACCUGCCUGUAAGACUGGGAUAACUUCGGGAAACCGGAGCUAAUACCGGAUAAUGCAUUUCCCCUCAUGGGGUUAUGCUGAAAGAUGGUUUCGGCUAUCACUUACAGAUGGGCCCGCGGCGCAUUAGCUAGUUGGUGAGGUAACGGCUCACCAAGGCAACGAUGCGUAGCCGACCUGAGAGGGUGAUCGGCCACACUGGGACUGAGACACGGCCCAGACUCCUACGGGAGGCAGCAGUAGGGAAUCUUCCGCAAUGGACGAAAGUCUGACGGAGCAACGCCGCGUGAGUGAUGAAGGUUUUCGGAUCGUAAAACUCUGUUGUCAGGGAAGAACAAGUGCCGGAGUAACUGCCGGCACCUUGACGGUACCUGACCAGAAAGCCACGGCUAACUACGUGCCAGCAGCCGCGGUAAUACGUAGGUGGCAAGCGUUGUCCGGAAUUAUUGGGCGUAAAGCGCGCGCAGGCGGUCUCUUAAGUCUGAUGUGAAAGCCCACGGCUCAACCGUGGAGGGUCAUUGGAAACUGGGGGACUUGAGUGCAGAAGAGGAAAGUGGAAUUCCACGUGUAGCGGUGAAAUGCGUAGAGAUGUGGAGGAACACCAGUGGCGAAGGCGACUUUCUGGUCUG
rnacentral:rRNA from 1 species